CGAUAAAAUGUUUUCGAUAAAAACCUUUUCUAUAGAAUAGUUGUUCGAUAACAACAUUUUCUAUAGAAAAGUUGUUCGAUAACAACAUUUUCUAUAGAAAAGUUUUUCGAUAACAACCUUUUCAAUAGAAAAGUUGUUCGAUAACAACCUUUUCAAUAGAAAAGUUGUUCGAUAGCACCCUUUUCUAUAGAAAAGAUGUUCGAUAGCACCCUUUUAUUAAGGAAUGCUGUUCGAUAACAACCUUUUCUUUAGAAAAGUUGUUCGAUAACAACCUUUUCUUUAGAAAAAUUGUCCGAUAACAACCUUUUCUUUAGAAAAUUGUUCGAUAACAAUCUUUUCUAUAGAAAAGUUUUCCGAUAAAAACCUUUUCUAUAGAAAAGUUGUUCGAUAACAACAUUUUCUAUAGAAAAGUUGUUCGAUAACAACCUUUUCUAUAGAAAAGUUGUUCGAUAACAUUAUUUUCUAUAGAAAAGUUGUUCGAUAACAACAUUAUCUAUAGAAAAGUUGUUCGAUUACAACAUUUCCUAUGGAAAGUUGUUCGAUAACAACGUUUUCUAUAGAAAAGUUGU